UUAUUCUCCUCAGCGCAGGAUGGCAGACUCAAGAUGGAAGUUUGGUUAGAAGGUGGAAUGGGGGCUUAUAGCUCAGGUGGCUAGAGCGCACGCCUGAUAAGCGUGAGGUCGGUGGUUCGAGUCCACCUAAGCCCACCAUUUUCUUGUUGGGGGUAUAGCUCAGUUGGGAGAGCGCCUGCCUUGCAAGCAGGAGGUCAGCGGUUCGAAUCCGCUUACCUCCACCAGCGUACCUUGAAAACUGCACAGCGUGAUUUAAGGGUUAAAACACAAUUUCGCCUGCACCGCAAGGUGUGAGGGGGAUUGCGACACGAACGUGAAGCGCAGCUGAGCGUUCGUGAUGACUCUUAGGAUGUCUCAAAAAAUGGAAGACCAAAAGAA
rnacentral:tRNA from 1 species